AGGCAGAGGGGAGAAGAUGCAGGGUGGCCGCGGAGGUGACGUAGCAGCAGUGUGCAGCCCGGAACUCCAGCCGCACCUUGAAGAAUGGAGUUGGGAGCAAUGUCCCCUCCUUAAAAGGACUUGAAGACGUGAUGAAAGCUCCGGCCGCCCAGGAGACAGGAGGAAGUGGGUUCUCAGUCCUAGUGAAUCGGCCACCAAAGGGUGGCCAAGCCUGAGAAGCACAGGGAGCGGGGGACCAGCUCCAGACUCCCGAGUGGCCAUCAAGAGUGACCAGGAGAGCCUUUGAAGUGGCUGAUGUCCCUUCAGAGAAUCCCAGGGCGCUCCGGGGAGGGCUACCCGAGUCUGCCUCUCUCAAUGAGAGCCAUUUGAAAACAGAUGACGACGCAGGUGAGUCCCGUCCCAAGGCGGGGUCCCUGGGAGAUGGCCACGUUCGUUCCAUGAGGGAAGGACGAAUAAUGCCCCCUUUGAGGUCGGAGCUCCCAGUUGGGACGGAGAUGAGCAAGAGGGACACAGACACUUAGCACACAGCCCUCGGGCACAGGUGGCAGGUCCCAGGAAGCGGGCCGCUCCCAAGGAGGUGGGGCUGGCUGCGAUCCCAGGGUCACGGGGCCACCCGGGCUGCGUCUUCAGAGUGACUGGACAAAGGCCAAGCACUCUGGGCCUCGUGGGACAGGGAACGGAGGGAGGGCGAAUCAGUAGUUAAUAAGGGCUGGUCAGCGCCGAUGGUCAGUGGACGUCCAGAGCCCUCUGCAUGCCAAGGGCCCAAGGUGGUCUUUGGUGGUGAACUCGGUCCUUCCUGGUGGGCAGCAGGGAGGAAGGUCACCUUUGGAAACGGAUGUCCUGCUCUGAGCCCUCCUGUGUCUGUGCCCGGGGAAAAGCCUUCAGCUCCCGCCGUCCUCAGGCCAAGGUGGCCGCUCUGGGGUGGCUCAUCCGGGCCUCCUGUGCGUCUGUCGGGGACUCCCGCCGGGCACCUUGGUGGGUCGUCACCCCCUGUGACCUAGCCAUGUUAAUAGAAGCUGUGCCAACGCCAGGCGAGGACUCGGUCAACAAACGCCCGUCAGAUGCUCGGCCCUGGGCUGGAACGGGGCACAUGACGGACGCGGUUCUGUUGUCACCGUGCCUGGUACCGUCCUCGGUCUCCUCCGGCACUCCCCCCAGGGCUGCCUGGCCGCUGGUUUGGGCUGCCAUCCCCCAAUUCCUCCCGGUCUCCCCCUCUACAGGUGCUCUGGGCUGGCCGCCUCCUGCAGGGGUCGUGGCUCCUCCCGAGCAGCCCACGUCACCUCCGUGUCUCCAGAACCGCCCUCCCCUUUCCAGGCCCAUCCAGCAUCAGGGUGCUGAGGUCACCUGUUUCACCCUGGCUCCUGCGUAUCCACCGAGUGCCUGCACCCCACCCAGCCCUCUGUAGAGAGCGUCACCUGUCCCCACCACGCGGUCACUCUCGUGGUCACUCCCACUCCCUCGUGUCCCUCUCUGCCCUGGCGUGGUCAGCAGAGUUCCCCCUGAGCCUGCUGGACCGCGGGCAGUGGGAGUCCUCUGUCCAGCUGCCUCUGAGAUGUCACCCCUCGCAGCCCUCAUGCCACAGUCCAUACAAGAGGCUGCUUCCUUUUGGCGACUGACCCCGAACAUGCAGCACGGGGGGACGGAAGAGUUGGCGGGACGAGGGCCCACCCCAGCUCAGUCUGCAUAAACAGACCUUACUAAAACCAUCCUGGCUACUUCCUCACGACUGUCAUCCCUUGACCCCAAAACGAUCUUGGCUAACAGGGUAUGAGAACGGCAAGCCAAAGUGCUUCUUGGAUUUUCACUCCUCUGCGGUGGACUCCGUGGCGCGUGAUAUCUAUUUCACAACCAGGGACCUUUUCCAUUGUCAGUCUUCUUAGUUUAAUUCACACCCCCCUGUUACGGAACCUGAAAGCUUAAGGAAGAAUGUGUCCUCCACAGUGCCAGGUCCCUGCCGGCAUCUCAGUACAGGUGGGGGCCCGGGCAGCGAGGCAUUUGGGGGUUAGGGUUAGUUC